UGGGGAAUAUUGCACAAUGGAGGGAACUCUGAUGCAGCGACGCCGCGUGAACGAAGAAGGCUUUCGAGUCGUAAAGUUCUUUUAUAUGGGAAGAUAAUGACGGUACCAUAAGAAAAAGCCCCGGCUAACUACGUGCCAGCAGCCGCGGUAAUACGUAAGGUCCGAGCGUUGUCCGGAAUCAUUGGGCGUAAAGGGUACGUAGGCGGGUAAGCAAGUUAGAAGUGAAAUCCUGUAGCUCAACUACAGUAAGCUUUUAAAACUGCUCAUCUUGAGAUAUGGAAGGGAAAGUGGAAUUCCUAGUGUAGCGGUGAAAUGCGCAGAUAUUAGGAGGAAUACCGGUGGCGAAGGCGACUUUCUGGCCAUAAUCUGACGCUGAGGUACGAAAGCGUGGGUAGCAAACAGG
rnacentral:rRNA from 1 species